rnacentral:rRNA from 1 species
AUACGGAGGGUGCAAGCGUUACUCGGAAUCACUGGGCGUAAAGGACGCGUAGGCGGGUUGUCAAGUCAGGUGUGAAAUCCUACAGCUUAACUGUAGAACUGCACUUGAAACUGGCAACCUAGAGUAUGGGAGGGGGAGAUGGAAUUAGUGGUGUAGGGGUAAAAUCCGUAGAUAUCACUAGGAAUACCUAAAGCGAAGGCGAUCUCCUGGAACAUUACUGACGCUAAGGCGUGAAAGCGUGGGGAGCAAACAGGAUUAGAUACCCUGGUAGUCCACGCCCUAAACGAUGAACACUAGUCGUCGCGAUGCUUGUCAUUGCGGUGAUGCACUUAACAGAUUAAGUGUUCCGCCUGGGGAGUACGGUCGCAAGAUUAAA